GGGUAGGUGCCGGAGUGGUUAAUCGGACCAGACUGUAAAUCUGGCGGCUGUAAAGGUCUACGAUAGUUCAAAUCUAUCCCUGCCCA
rnacentral:tRNA from 1 species